AUUGAACGCUGGCGGCAGGCCUAACACAUGCAAGUCGAGCGAGCGGCGGACGGGAGAGUAAUGUAUGGGGAUAUGCCCGAUAGAGGGGGACAACUAAUGGUAACGGUGGCUAAUACCGCCUACUAUCGGAGGAACCCAUAUGGGAUUAGCUAGUAGGUGGGGUAAAGGCUCACCUAGGCGACGAUCUCUAGUUGGUAUGAGAGGAUGAUCAGCCACACUGGGACUGAGACACGGCGCAGACUCCUACGGGAGGCAGCAGUGGGGAAUUUUGAACAAUGGGCGCAAGCCUGAUGCAGCCAUGCCGCGUGUAUGAAGAAGGCCUUAGGGUUGUAAAGUACUUUCAGCGGGGAGGCGUUACCCGCAGAAGAAGCACCGGCUAACUCCGUGCCAGCCGCCGCGGUAAUUC
rnacentral:rRNA from 1 species